GCUUGGAUGGCUCAGUUGGUUGAGUGUCUGACUCUUGGUUUCCUCUCAGGUCAUGAUCCCAGGGUCGUGGGAUCGAACCCCACGUCAGGCU
rnacentral:tRNA from 1 species